rnacentral:rRNA from 1 species
UACGUAGGUGGCAAGCGUUACUCGGAAUCACUAGGCGUAAAGCGCAGGUAGGCGGUUCGGUAAGUCUCUUGUGAAAGCUCCCGGCUCAACUGGGAGAGGUCAAGGGAAACUACCGGGCUAGAGUGUGGCAGAGGAAGCUGGAAUUCCUGGUGUAGCGGUGAAAUGCGCAGAUAUCAGGAGGAACACCGAUGGCGAAGGCAGUGGGCUGGGCCGGCACUGACGCUGAGGAGCGAAAGCGUGGGGAGCGAACAGG